UACGUAGGGUGCAAGCGUUAAUCGGAAUUACUGGGCGUAAAGCGCAUGCAGGUGGUUUGUUAAGUCAGAUGUGAAAGCCCUGGGCUCAACCUAGGAAUCGCAUUUGAAACUGACAAGCUAGAGUACUGUAGAGGGGGGUAGAAUUUCAGGUGUAGCGGUGAAAUGCGUAGAGAUCUGAAGGAAUACCGGUGGCGAAGGCGGCCCCCUGGACAGAUACUGACACUCAGAUGCGAAAGCGUGGGGAGCAAACAGG
rnacentral:rRNA from 1 species